rnacentral:rRNA from 1 species
GUGUCAGCCGCCGCGGUAAUACGAAGGGACCUAGCGUAGUUCGGAAUUACUGGGCUUAAAGAGCACGUAGGUGGUUAAGAAAGUUGGUGGUGAAAUCCCAAGGCUUAACUUUGGAACUGCCACCAAAACUUUUUAACUAGAGUAUGAUUGAGGUAAGCGGAAUUUCUAGUGUAGAGGUGAAAUUCGUAGAUAUUAGAAAGAACACCAAUUGCGAAGGCAGCUUUCUGGAUCAUUACUGACACUGAGGUGCGAAAGCAUGGGUAGCGAAGAGGAUUAGAUACCCUCGUAGUCCAUGCCGUAAACGAUGUGUGCUAGACGUUGGGAAUUUAUUUUUCAGUGUCGCAGCUAAAGCGUUAAGCAUACCGCCUGGGGAGUACGACCGCAAGGUUAAAACUCAAAUGAAUUGACGGGGACCCGCACAAGUAGUGGAGCAUGUGGUUUAAUUCGAAGAUACGCGCAGAACCUUACCAACACUUGACAUGUUCGUCGCGACUCUAAGAGAUUAGAGUUUUCGGUUCGGCCGGACGAAACACAGGUGCUGCAUGGCUGUCGUCAGCUCGUGUCGUGAGAUGUUGGGUUAAGUCCCGCAACGAGCGCAACCCUUACUUUUAGUUGCUACCAUUUAGUUGGGCACUCUAGAAGAACUGCCGGUGAUAAGCUGGAGGAAGGUGGGGAUGACGUCAAGUCCUCAUGGCCCUUAUGUGUUGGGCUACACACGUGCUACAAUGGUAUUUACAGUGGGAUGCAAAGAGGCAACUCCAAGCCAACCCUCAAAGAAUACCUCAGUUCGGAUUGUACUCUGCAACUCGAGUACAUGAAGCUGGAAUUACUAGUAAUCGCGGAUCAGCGCGCCGCGGUGAAUACGUUCCCGGGU